rnacentral:rRNA from 1 species
AUUGAACGCUGGCGGCAUGCCUUACACAUGCAAGUCGAACGGCAGCACGGGAGCAAUCCUGGUGGCGAGUGGCGAACGGGUGAGUAAUAUAUCGGAACGUGCCCAGUCGUGGGGAUAACGUAGCGAAAGCUACGCUAAUACCGCAUACGAUCUACGGAUGAAAGCAGGGGACCGCAAGGCCUUGCGCGAACGGAGCGGCCGAUGGCAGAUUAGGUAGUUGGUGGGAUAAAAGCUUACCAAGCCGACGAUCUGUAGCUGGUCUGAGAGGACGACCAGCCACACUGGGACUGAGACACGGCCCAGACUCCUACGGGAGGCAGCAGUGGGGAAUUUUGGACAAUGGGCGCAAGCCUGAUCCAGCAAU